AUCCACAUGACUAGGGCUACCAAUUCCAGACCCAAAGAAGGCUCUUGCGCCUUCAUGGAAAGUAUGGUUGUUCUCAUUCUCUUUCUUUUCCUCUUCCUGCCUUCCAUGGCUACAGAGGGAGCACCUGUCUUUAUAGCCUAGUCUGAGAAAUUCUGCAGCAUUCCUUCGACUCAAGCCGAGUGGUUCUUGCCUCACACAAAACUGCACAGGGGCAGUACAGCCCUUGCUAUGAUGGCUUUGGGUGCCAAAGGACGCAUUCCCUAAGCAUGCUUCCCCACUUGAGUUCUAAAGGCAUUGUGAGGGCUAGUCUUUGCCUUAGGAAAUAAACACAGCCUUUAUCCGGUCUGAAUAAUUCAACAAGUACCAACAACCAAAAGCAGUCCAGUGCUCAUGUCUGAAAUGGAGAAUCAGUGCAAGAUCUACUGUUACAAAGCAUAAUGGGACUGUCUGUGGCCAGCACCACAAUAAAAUCCAUGAAUUUUGACAUCUGAAAUUUCAAGUAAAGAAUAAAUCCUUCUUACUUCACAAACUUGACAGAGACAUGAGUAGGACUACUAUUUAGCCAAAACCAGUGAAGGAAGGGGGAUAUAAGAGCAACCAGCAUCACUGAAUUAAAUUGAUACUAGCUGGACCAGGCGCAGAGCAUCUGCACCUCUAGUUCUUCUGUGCCCCCAGUUGUCACCGCUUUCUCUUCCCCCUGCCCCAGCUGCCACCACCGCUUUCUCUCCCUCUCCUGGCAGCUCACUUGCGAACUGUCACAAGAGCUUCCAUGCAUGGGAUUAGCCACGGGAGUCAGCCCAGAUGAUCGCAGCCAAGCAUGCCUAUGAAGGGCCACUGAUGAGACCAUGGAUCUCGUUGCGCAGUCCACUCGAUGUCUGGACAAAUGGAGCUGUUGCUUCGCCAGGCCCAAGGAAGUUGCCAUGCACAAGACUUGUUCAGAGUGUGAGCUGAGAUCAUUUGGAGAUUCAGGUGAAGGAUCCAGGAAGUCUCCAAUUGGAGAGAAAACAAGAGAAAUGCCGACAAGCUGUUAAUCCCUUGGCAGACAACAAAGAACUGACUGUGAGGGCAACCAGAAUGAGACUGGAAGGGGCGGAGCUACCGCCAAAAUUAGAGAGCUUCAGAGACUCCAUAGCUGUCCCUGCGCAGGCACAGAGCCCAUGUGUGACAGACAGAGACGUGACAGACAGAGACCACAACGAAGAACCCUUUCCCUCCAACUAACUCACUGGGUGAAUCAGCCAGGGGAGGGGGUUAUUCAGAUUGUUUCCCUUGGAAUUUCCACUCACAACCAGCAUUCCUCAUCACAGACUCCCACAGGAUGAAGGGACUGUGAUUUUCCUCCUAUCCCAUGUAGGGCGUUUCAUAUUAUCAGUUUGUCUCCAUGUUGAGUUGGUCAUUGUUCUCUUGCUGGGUGCCAGCCCAAUAUGGAGAAAGGCACAUUCCAAACACUGAGGAAUUCAGAUCUAUAGUCCUAUUUCAGAAAAGGUAAUGAAAACUGGGUUCCUAUGGAUACCCAUUCAUGGCAGGCAUCUCUAUGUGGAAUAGUAAGGCAAUCUCCACAUAUUGUGGAUGAUACACUGUUAAGAUUUACUACAGUAAUGAGUAGUGUGUGUUGGUUUCCAAACAUGGUGUUCUCUUUUAUCAUUUUGUUACUGACUACACUACAGUUAUUUUUAGGCUUGAAUUAUAGUACAACUGUAUGAGUCUUUUUCCAUAUAAGACUUACUGCUGAAAUAACCCAGAGUUCCUCAACAACAAGCAGACAGCUUACAAAAAACACGGCUUGUGCUUGAAUUGUACAUUUGUUUUAAGGCAACCUUUUGCUAUGAUUUAUCACAAUUGAUGCUGCAACAAGAGUUCUGCUUUCCUCCACACUUUUAGAGUUUGUAGGCCAAAAGGUUUUUCCCCAGUUGAGCCAAGAGAUAUGCUAAUAUUAAAGGGGAUUUCACAGUACUUACACUGCCCCAUCCACUAAAGAAGCCCCUGCUGUUUAUUUAAUUUCACAUUAUGAGUAUUACACGCAAGCCACUAUUUGCUUGUAAUUUUCUUUACAUUAGAAAUUAAAACCUGAAGCAGACUUCUAAACCUGAUGAAAAUUCUUGUUUAUGAAUUAGACCUGUAUUUAGUUCCUUUGCUUUUUAAGGUCUUUUGAGGCAAUAGGGUUUUUUUAGCACAACAACUGUACAAACAGAAACAACAUUCAUGUCCAUAAUACUACAGACAUUGUUGAGCAUACAAAACAUGUGGACCAAUUUCAGAUUAUGUUAGGCACACUUAAAUCUCACUGAAAUCAAUGGUACAUGUCAAUCCCAGCCUAUUUAAGUCCCAUCAAUUUUGAUGGAACAUGCAGCCAAAUCCCACUCAUGCUUACUGUAUUUGGAAGUAUUUUCAAUGAGUUCAAAGAACUUCCUCUAAAACAAGCAGGCCUUAAGUGUGAUUAUUUUCUUCUAUAUUAGAACACAAUGGGGCAAGAAUGCACUCAGAAAACAAAUAAUAAGAACUGUAAUGGAGAUACACCAGUUAUACACAGACUCUUUUAUUCUGAAAAUUUGAAGAAUAAAGAAUAUCAAUAUGGUAAAAUAAUAACUUACACUUACCAGACCAUUGCAGUUGCUUAAUGCUACUUUAGUUGUACUGUGCUGGUCAUGUAAAUAUCCCGUGUAAUGACAGUUGUCUAAAAAGUCAUGCUUCCACUGAGGUCCAUCUUUCCCCCAGUAUUCUACUGUGAAGUGUUUGGAGACCAAAUCUGUGUUGAGAGUCAGGUUUAAAUGAAAGUGCUUGCCAUAGGCAGAAAGUUUAAAAAAUAAUUUAGAUACAGCCAGUUCUUGAUCAGUACUCCUCUUCUUUCUCCUGGAGGGCUUAGUAUUUUUCACAGUAAAGCUGAGGAAGGCUCCAUUAUGGUCAACCCUUAUUGGGAUUGUUAGUUGGUAGUGUUCAAGGUAGGACAGGAAUUCCUCUUUGAAACCACAAGGUAAAUCAGUCCAAGCAAUGGGCAUAAAAAAAGAAGAAAAUAUAACAGGACACAAGAAGGAGUAGUAUAACAUUAUCCACAUUUUACUAAACCAAGCACCUUUAAAGUGAAUGUUCAGAUGAGCAUAUUAAUAAGAAAAACAAAUUUCCUGCUAAAUAAAAUAUCAGCUUUAAAAGUUUCUAAAAAUAUUUCAAUUCAGAACAAUAUUUUAUAAUGAAAUUCUACUCAUCCAUCUACUUUAAAUUUGCUAAAUAUUUUGCCUAUUCUAAUAUAGUUUUUACACAUGCAAGUUAAGUUAUGUUAUUGGAAGGAUAAUCACUUAUUUAUCCAAUAGAAAUAAUAACUAUAAUUUGCAUGAAAAUAAUCAUUUUGUAAAAUGUCUACUGAUACAAUCCAGUACAAUCUAGUAAGCUCCACUGAUCUCAGGAGAACAUAAGCAAACAUAACUCUUGUGCUAGAUUAGCAUCCUCAUCCACUUAGCUAAGGAUAUAAAAGCUUCAGGACACACACAAGUCCUCCUAGCCAAAAAAGGUCUUCCUAUAUAAACUUCAACAAAAGAAGAAGACCAAUGCAGCAUUGUAUGCAUGUGUAAAUAUGCUAUCUUCAUUCAAGUUAAUGGGAGAACCUUCAUACAUAGGAGCUCAGCACAUGACCUGCAGUGUACAUGAAGUCUGAGAUUCAGAUUAAAUAUUAUAUUUUUAAUUAACAUGUAAAAAACAAGCAUUUCAAGACAUUUUAAAAUAUAUAAAUUAUUUGUGAAUUAAGCAAUCAUUUAAGUUUGAGGAUUUAUUUAUUAACUAAUUAAAAUAAUAGCUUUUCAAUUUGCUAAUAAAACAAUUCUAUCAUUUUAAUUCUACUACCUAAAGAGAAUGAAUUUUUAAAAAUCUUACUUCAUGAGUCAUGUGCCAAUAGUAAUAUCUAUAUUAAGGACACCUGAUUAACCAACGGAAGUGUCAAAGAUGUAAACUAAGGAAGUUGAAUCCCUACCUUGAGAACUAUAAGAAAGUCUGUUGUCACCAUGAAAUUCUGACAAAACCAUGAUUAAGCACAAAAUCCAGGUCAACGUCUUCCACAAAAUUUCCAUAAUUUGGAAGAAGUGGGGCUA